rnacentral:rRNA from 1 species
GACGAACCGUGCGAACGUUGUUCGGAAUCACUGGGCUUAAAGGGCGCGUAGGCGGCUCGCCAAGUCGGGGGUGAAAUCUUUCGGCCCAACCGGAAAAGGGCCUCCGAUACUGGCGAGCUCGAGGGAGGUAGGGGCGGACGGAACUUCCGGUGGAGCGGUGAAAUGCGUUGAUAUCGGAAGGAACGCCGGUGGCGAAAGCGGUCCGCUGGCCCUCUACUGACGCUGAGGCGCGAAAGCCAGGGGAGCAAACGGG